ACCUAGUCUUGUUCCCUUGACCUAAUGUGAUUAGGUUUGAACCAUCUAAUUUAUUAGUUGGUUUUAUUUGAUUUUGUGGAAGUGUUCCAUGUGAAAUCAUCUUCCUCCACAUCAAACCACAUGUAUAAAUAUUGGUGGUGUCAUAUUUAUUUUGAGAAUUGAGAAGGAGAGUCCUUCUUUCUUACUCCUCUUAAAAUUAUUACAUCUUCCACACAUCUCUUAUUUUUUGUGUGCCAUCAGAUGGUGCCUUGGGAUGUGAGACAUGGAAGAGGAGAGGGAGUCCUUCAUUAGGAAGGAACUCCAUGCCAAUUUAUUUUGGAUGCCUCCUUUAUUUUGGGCAUUGAAGUGGAAGAGUCCACUUCACUUGGGACUCUUAAUUUCUCUUAUAAUCCAUGUGUUUUCUUCCCUCC
rnacentral:lncRNA from 1 species